rnacentral:rRNA from 1 species
UGGGGAAUAUUGGACAAUGGGGGAAACCCUGAUCCAGCCAUGCCGCGUGAGUGAUGAAGGCCCUAGGGUUGUAAAGCUCUUUUGUGCGGGAAGAUAAUGGCGGUACCGCAAGAAUAAGCCCCGGCUAACUUCGUGCCAGCAGCCGCGGUAAUACGAAGGGGGCUAGCGUUGCUCGGAAUCACUGGGCGUAAAGGGUGCGUAGGCGGAUCUUUAAGUCAGAGGUGAAAGCCUGGAGCUCAACUCCAGAACUGCCUUUGAUACUGGGGAGCUUGAGUUCGGGAGAGGUGAGGGGAACUGCGAGUGUAGAGGUGAAAUUCGUAGAUAUUCGCAAGAACACCAGUGGCGAAGGCGGCUCACUGGCCCGAUACUGACGCUGAGGCACGAAAGCGUGGGGAGCAAACA